AAAAAAUAAACUGGAUCAAAGCUAUACUCAACUUCAAGAUGACUGUUCACUGAGAAAUGUGAAAUUAAUAUGAAAUAUGAAAGAAAACUCUUACUAUGUAAAUGAAUCACAGAAUCCAAGAAAGAUGUGCCGGAUGGGAACUAGAGGUCAUCUAGAUUGCAUUCUGUCUAAUCAGAUCAUAUGAAGGAGCCAAAGCUGUCUUCCUGUUAGCUCCAGAGUAAAAGUAGCCUGCAGCCCACACCCUGGGGUCUGAUGAAAGGACUCACACUCCAGUCUGCAUUCCUGCUGCACCUGCCAGACCCUGCUGACAAAAUUUCUGUUUCUCCAUUGACCAAAU
ensembl:lncRNA novel transcript, antisense TRPM3